AAAGUCGUAACAAGGUUUCCGUAGGUGAACCUGCGGAAGGAUCAUUACUGAUUUGGCGGACCGAGCGUCAGCGAGGUUCCGCGAUCACUUGUAUUUAAAACCCACACUUUUGAACGUAUACGUAUAUUUUCGUAUUUUUAAUAAUAAAAGAUCACUUUCAACAACGGAUCUCUUGGCUCUC
rnacentral:misc_RNA from 1 species